rnacentral:rRNA from 1 species
UACGGGGGGGGGCAAGCGUUGUUCGGAAUUACUGGGCGUAAAGGGCUCGUAGGCGGCCAACUAAGUCGGAUGUGAAAUCCCCAGGCUUAACCUGGGAACUGCAUCCGAUACUGGAUGGCUUGAAUCCGGGAGAGGGAUGCAGAAUUCCAGGUGUAGCGGUGAAAUGCGUAGAUAUCUGGAGGAAUACCGGUGGCGAAGGCGACUACCUGGCCUGUUCUUGACGCUGAGGCGCGAAAGCUAGGGGAGCAAACGGG